rnacentral:rRNA from 1 species
UACAGAGGUCUCAAGCGUUGUUCGGAUUCAUUGGGCGUAAAGGGUGCGUAGGCGGCGCGGUAAGUCGGGUGUGAAAUCUCGGGAGCUUAACUCCGAAACUGCAUUCGAUACUGCCGUGCUUUGAGGACUGGAGAGGAGACUGGAAUUUACGGUGUAGCGGUGAAAUGCGUAGAUAUCGUAAGGAAGACCAGUGGCGAAGGCGGGUCUCUGGACAGUUCCUGACGUGAGGCACGAAGGCCAGGGGAGCAAACGGG